GAUGAACGCUGGCGGCGUGCCUAAUACAUGCAAGUCGAGCGAACAGACGAGGAGCUUGCUCCUCUGACGUUAGCGGCGGACGGGUGAGUAACACGUGGAUAACCUACCUAUAAGACUGGGAUAACUUCGGGAAACCGGAGCUAAUACCGGAUAAUAUAUUGUACCGCAUGGUUCAAUAGUGAAAGACGGUUUUGCUGUCACUUAUAGAUGGAUCCGCGCCGCAUUAGCUAGUUGGUAAGGUAACGGCUUACCAAGGCAACGAUGCGUAGCCGACCUGAGAGGGUGAUCAGCCACACUGGAACUGAGACACGGUCCAGACUCCUACGGGAGGCAGCAGUAGGGAAUCUUCCGCAAUGGGCGAAAGCCUGACGGAGCAACGCCGCGUGAGUGAUGAAGGUCUUCGGAUCGUAAAACUCUGUUAUUAGGGAAGAACAAAUGUGUAAGUAACUAUGCACGUCUUGACGGUACCUAAUCAGAAAGCCACGGCUAACUACGUG
rnacentral:rRNA from 1 species